rnacentral:lncRNA from 1 species
AUGUCCUCAGGGGUAGAGCUGGAAAUCUGGACCUUGGAAGCCAUCAAAUGUCUCUUUUGUAUAGGUCUUAAGAUACUCUGGAUUAAUAUCUUGGUUCUACCAUUAAUUUUCACUGUGGGAUCACAAUCACGUUAUCGGUUUAAAGCCCAACUGCUGUACAACCUACCUCAUAGAUUUAGUAUGAGAAUCAAGGAAGAUAAGGAAUGUGAAAGCCCUAUGGAAGUGAGCAAAACAACCAAACACGCGGGAACAUGGCACGAUGCCCAAGAGGAUACACAAAAAAGCAAAGAAAGUGUUAUAAUGGACUUAAGAUGAGUGGGGGCUACAACCAUGUCUUUACCACCCACUAUUACCGCAGUAUAGAUAAAGCUUCCACCUACCCCACCUAUUCUUGGGCCGAGGAACUUUGAAUGUCACCUUUACUUACCACCGCAAACACCAUGAAGAAAAACAGCUCAACUCCCCAAUCCCCAACGUGUAGAAAGAUCAUGCACUUCAAAGACCAUCAAAAAACUCAAGUUCCACGGGAAACAAGAUAAAAGAAGCCAGCCAACAGAAAGGUGACCAAAACAACAACAAAAAAAAGACUCCAAAGCCUGCCUACAUUUCGAGUUCAGUUAGCUUAACCAUAAAUAAACAAAAUGGCACAUCUGCUUGUUCCA